rnacentral:tRNA from 2 species
GCGGCCGUGGUCUAGCCUGGCUAGGACCCCAGCCUCCCGAGCUGGGUACGCGGGUUCAAGUCCCGCCGGCCGCA